AAAAAAAACAGAGGAGAGAGAGAGAUCCAUGGAGAUUUGGAGCUCCCCUGUCCCUCGAUUCGCUAGGGUGCCCCGGCGUCCAGCGCUCUCCCUCCGGCCGCCCAAGCCCCUCCGGCUUCUCUGAUGUCCGCGUCGGAGGGGCAGCAUAUCUCGGCCACCGUACCCAACCCCGGCCUCCAUUUCCCCCGCCGGCAUUUAUGGUCCUGUGAUGGUGUUUUAUGGAUAGUUGCAUGAUAAUGUCUGGGAAUUGUUUAAUCUAUGGGUAGACUCGGGAAGUGUUUUGGUAAGGGUAUUCAUUCUGCUUGUUCCGAAGAGCAAGGUGAUUCAGAUGGUGAUCCUUUUGUGCCCAAUGAUUUUGCUGAGGACGAUUCUUUCCAAGUUUCCGAGGAUGGUGAAAUGGAUAACCCUGAGUGUGAAAAAGCUUAUAUGAUUUCUAUGUGUCCCACAUUUCUUCGGGCAGGAGAGAGACGAUAGGAGGUGAUGAAUGCAUAGGAGGGGGGAGAGGGAUGUUUUCCUUGUGUUUUUCCUACUUCUCCAGCCAUGUUGUUGAUGUUUGUCUCCCAGAUCUUGGAGGAAUCGCCCUCACUGGUGGCGCUUCUCCAUGUUCGUCCUCCUAUAUGUGGUUGUACUUGUACCAGUGCAUUUUGUCAGUGUAGUUAACUUUGUUUAGUGAAUUUUACACUGUAAAGCUGAUAAAAUUACAGUGUAUUUAUUACUGGUUUUACAGUGUUUUUAUAAGUGGAUUUGCACUGUAGUUCCUAUCUGGACUUACACUGUAAUUCUUCUCUAAGUUUACAAUGUAAUUUUGGCUGGUUUUACGGUGUAGUUCUUUGUCGAUA